GACGGAGGGUGCAAGCGUUGCUCGGAUUCACUGGGCGUAAAGGGUGCGUAGGCGGCCGCGCAAGUCUGUCGUGAAAGCCCCGGGCUCAGCCCGGGAAGGGCGCUCGAAACGGCGCGGCUCGAGUGCCGGAGGGGAGAGUGGAAUUCCUGGUGUAGCGGUGAAAUGCGUAGAUAUCAGGAGGAAUACCGGUGGCGAAAGCGACUCUCUGGACGGCAACUGACGCUGAGGCACGAAAGCGUGGGGAGCAAACAGG
rnacentral:rRNA from 1 species